GUCAAAGCUCUCUGCCUCUACCUGUUCUUUGUGUCGAAGAUGGGGAGGCAAUUCUGAAGUUCUCUGAAAUUUUCGCCCUUCAUAAACCUCGGAAGAAAGCAGAGAAGAGGGAGCGUCGUUGCUCUGUUCCCAAAGACAAAUACAAGGCCAUGCACACACUGGAUAUUGUUGAAGAAGAUGAAGUUAAAUUACUGAGAGGGUCCUAUGAAGAGUUUCCUUGGUUGAGGAUGACCCAUGUACAUCAUGAUAGUGCUUUAACGAUGCUGGAUAUUGAACCAGGA
rnacentral:misc_RNA from 1 species